GGAUGUGAGGGCCAUCUGGCUGCCACAUCUGUCACCCUAUUGAUUACAAGGUUGAUUCAGCUGAUCUGGAUGGCUAGGCGGGAGUCCCCUUCCUCCCUCACACUCCAUGUGCAUCCCUCCUGAAGCUGUGUGCUCGGUGAAGAGGACUGCCUUCCCCAAAUAGAGACAGACUACUCUUUGGUCCCCUGCUAGAACCUCCAAACAAACUCUCAAAUACCUCAAUUCCUCUGUGCCUCAGUUUCCUUGACAACAAAAUAGUUUUUUUAAAAAUCAUCUUAUUUGAUAAUGGAGGGCAAAGCUUCACAAGUGGUGAAGCAGGGCUGCAGGUGUCUUUCUUCCUCUCUAU
rfam:Erinaceus europaeus unplaced genomic scaffold scaffold00812, whole genome shotgun sequence